GAUGAACGCUAGCUACAGGCUUAACACAUGCAAGUCGAGGGGUAACGUUGCGGAAGCUUGCUUCUGCAGACGACGACCGGCGCACGGGUGAGUAACGCGUAUCCAACCUGCCCCAUGCUCUGGGAUAACCUUCCGAAAGGGAGCCUAAUACCGGAUGCGGUGCGACGAUGGCAUCAGAAUUGCACCAAAGAUUCAUCGGCAUGGGAUGGGGAUGCGUCUGAUUAGCUUGUUGGCGGGGUAACGGCCCACCAAGGCGACGAUCAGUAGGGGUUCUGAGAGGAAGGUCCCCCACACUGGUACUGAGACACGGACCAGACUCCUACGGGAGGCAGCAGUGAGGAAUAUUGGUCAAUGGGCGGGAGCCUGAACCAGCCAAGUAGCGUGCAGGAAGACGGCCCUACGGGUUGUAAACUGCUUUUAUGAGGGGAUAAAGGGCAUCACGUGUGGUGUUUUGCAGGUACCUCAUGAAUAAGGACCGGCUAAUUCCGUGCCAGCAGCCGCGGUAAUACGGAAGGUCCGGGCGUUAUCCGGAUUUAUUGGGUUUAAAGGGAGCGUAGGCGGAAGGUUAAGCGUGACGUGAAAUGUACCGGCUCAACCGGUGACGUGCGUCGUGAACUGGCUUUCUUGAGUGUGCAAAAGGAAGGCGGAAAUUCCUGGUGUAGCGGUGAAAUGCUUAGAUAUCACGAAAAAACUUCCGAUUUGCGAAGGCAGCUUUCCGUAGCAUUACUGACGCUGAAGCUCGAAAGCGCGGGUAUCGAACAGGAUUAGAUACCCUGGUAGUCCGCGCGGUAAACGAUGGAUACCCGCUGUCCGGCUUAUGUGUCGGGUGGCCAAGCGAAAGCAUUAAGUAUCCCACCUGGGGAGUACGCCGGCAACGGUGAAACUCAAAGGAAUUGACGGGGGCCCGCACAAGCGGAGGAACAUGUGGUUUAAUUCGAUGAUACGCGAGGAACCUUACCCGGGCUUGAACUGCAGCAGAACGAGAGAGAGAUCUUGAGGCCCUUCGGGGCUGCUGUGGAGGUGCUGCAUGGUUGUCGUCAGCUCGUGCCGUGAGGUGUCGGCUUAAGUGCCAUAACGAGCGCAACCCCUGCGGUCAGUUGCCAUCAGGUGAUGCUGGGCACUCUGGCCGGACUGCCACCGUAAGGUGUGAGGAGGGUGGGGAUGACGUCAAAUCAGCACGGCCCUUACGUCCGGGGCUACACACGUGUUACAAUGGGGCAUACAGAGAGCCGGUCGUGCGCAAGUACGAUCCAAUCCUUAAAGUGCCUCGUAGUUCGGAUUGGGGUCUGCAACCCGACCCCAUGAAGCUGGAUUCGCUAGUAAUCGCGCAUCAGCCAUGGCGCGGUGAAUACGUUCCCGGGCCUUGUACACACCGCCCGUCAAGCCAUGAAAGCCGGGGGCGCCUGAAGUCCGUGACCGCAAGGAUCGGCCUAGGGCGAAACCGGUGAUUGGGGC
rnacentral:rRNA from 1 species